rnacentral:rRNA from 1 species
AGAGUUUGAUCCUGGCUCAGGAUGAACGCUGGCGGCAUGUCUAAGGCAUGCAAGUUGAACGAUUCACCUUCCUUCGGGAAGAAUGAAGAGUGGCAAACGGGAGAGUAACACAUUGGUAACUUACCUCGAACUCGUGAAUAGUCCGUCGAAAGGCGGAGUAAUACACGAUAUUGAUGGGGGGACUUCGGUCAUUCCCAUUGAAAGUUUUAACGGUUCGAGAGAGGCCUAUGGUCUAUCAGCUUGUUGGUGAGGUAAAAGCUCACCAAGGCUACGACGGAUACCGGGCGUGAGAGCGUGGCCCGGCUCACUGGGACUGAGACACGGCCCAGACACCUACGGGUGGCUGCAGUCAAGAAUCUUCCGCAAUGCACGAAAGUGUGACGGAGCAAUGCCGCGUGAUGGAUGAAGGCCCUAGGGUCGUAAACAUCUUUUAUUAGGGACGAACAAAUGACGGUACCUAAUGAAUAAGGGGCUGCUAAUCACGUGCCAGCAGCAGCGGUAAUACGUGAGCCCCAAGCGUUAUCCGGAUUUAUUGGGCGUAAAGGGUCCGUAGGUGGCUUUGUAAGUCAUGUGUUAAAUCUUCAGGCUCAACCUGGAGGCUGCACGUGAUACUGCAAGGCUAGAGGAUGGGAGAGGCAGAUGGAAUUGCUGGUGUAGCGGUAAAAUGCGUUAAUAUCAGCAAGAACACCAAAGGCGAAGGCAAUCUGCUGGAACAUUCCUGACACUGAGGGACGAAAGCGUGGGUAGCGAAUGGGAUUAGAUACCCCAGUAGUCCACGCCGUAAACGAUGAGUGCUAGGUUUUGGGAGUAUCGACCCUCUCAGAGCCGGUUUAACCAAGCUAACGCGUUAAGCACUCCGCCUGGGUAGUACGGCCGCAAGGCUAAAACCUAAAGGAAUAGACGGGGACUUGCACAAGCGGUGGAUCAGGU